GAUGAACGCUGGCGGCGUGCCUAAUACAUGCAAGUCGAGCGAAUGGAUUAAGAGCUUGCUCUUAUGAAGUUAGCGGCGGACGGGUGAGUAACACGUGGGUAACCUGCCCAUAAGACUGGGAUAACUCCGGGAAACCGGGGCUAAUACCGGAUAACAUUUUGAACCGCAUGGUUCGAAAUUGAAAGGCGGCUUCGGCUGUCACUUAUGGCUGGACCCGCGUCGCAUUAGCUAGUUGGUGAGGUAACGGCUCACCAAGGCAACGAUGCGCAGCCGACCUGAGAGGGUGAUCGGCCACACUGGGACUGAGACACGGCCCAGACUCCGAAGGGAGGCAGCAGUAGGGAAUCUUCCGCAAUGGACGAAAGUCUGACGGAGCAACGCCGCGUGAGUGAUGAAGGCUUUCGGGUCGCAAAACUCUGUUGUUAGGGAAGAACAAGUGCUAGUUGAAUAAGCUGGCACCUUGACGGUACCUAACCAGAAAGCCACGGCUAACUACGUGCCAGCAGCCGCGGUAA
rnacentral:rRNA from 1 species